GAUGAACGCUAGCGGGAGGCCUAACACAUGCAAGCCGAGCGAGCGGCGUACGGGUGCGGAACACGUGUGCAACCUGCCUUUAUCAGGGGGAUAGCCUUUCGAAAGGAAGAUUAAUACCCCAUAGAUAGAGAUGGGCACGCGCAAGAUUAGAUAGUUGGUAGGGUAACGGCCUACCAAGUCAGUGAUCUUUAGGGGGCCUGAGAGGGUGAUCCCCCACACUGGUACUGAGACACGGACCAGACUCCUACGGGAGGCAGCAGUGAGGAAUAUUGGACAAUGGGUGAGAGCCUGAUCCAGCCAUCCCGCGUGAAGGACGACGGCCUAUGGGUUGUAAACUUCUUUUGUAUAGGGAUAGGUACUAUACGAAUAAGCACCGGCUAACUCCGUGCCAGCAGCCGCGGUAAUAC
rnacentral:rRNA from 1 species